AUGAACCCGGGAGGCGGAGCUUGCAGAGAGCCGAGAUCAUGCCACUGCACUCCAGCGUGGGCAACAGAGAAAAACCCGUCUCAAAAAACAGAUAGAGGGAGAAAGAGAGAGAGAGAGAAAAGAAAGAAAGAAAGAAAGAAAGAAAGAGAGAGAGAGAGAGAGGGAGGGAGGGAGGAAGGAAGAAAGAAAAGAAGAGAGAGAAAGAAAGAAGAGAGAGAAAGAAAGAAGAGAGAGAGAAAGAGAAAGAAAGAAAAGAGAAAGAGAGAAGGAGAAAAGAAAGAAGAAAAGAGAUGACUAAAAGAGGUUUCUUUUUUUUUUUUUUUUUUUUUGAGACAGAGUCUCACUCUGUCGCCCAGGCUGGAGUGCAGUGGUAUGAUCCUGGCUCACUGCAAGCUCCGCCUCCCGGGUUCACGCCAUUCUCCUGCCUCAGCCUCCCGAGUAGCUGGGACUACAGGUGCCCGCCACCUCGCCCGGCUAAUUUUUUGUAUUUUUAGUAGAGACGGGUUUCACCAUGUUGGCCAGGAUGGUCUCGAUCUUCUGACCUCGUGAUCCGCCCGUCUCAGCCUCCCAAAGUGCUGGGAUUACAGGCGUGAGUCACCGCGCCCGGUUGGUGAUUUUCUUCAUUUACACCAACUUGGCUUAUCAGAAACUAGUGAAACGAGUACUUUAUCUGCAGAAUUCUCUCCUGAUUUCCUCUAGUAACCUCAGUCCUAGCCAGACCUCAGCUGGGGUUAAAGGGUGGGGACAGUCAGGGACUUCGGUUAAGGAUAUUCCCCCUCCCCAGUUCCAGAACUGUAGAGACAAGUGGUAGAAACAGAGAGGAGGACAGUCAUGAUUUGUUGAAUUAAAUGGAAUUUAUUUAAAAUAAAUUUCUUUAUUGGAAUCAUAGAUGCACAUGAUUAAAAAUUUAAAAUGUUUGAAGGGUUUAUAAAUGAAAAAAACUAUGUUUUAUCUUUUCUACUGCUAAAUUCUUUUUCUCAGAGGCAGUGACUUUGAACUCUUUAAACUAUUUCUACUGGUAGCUGUAAAUAAUAUGCCUAUGCUGCAAUAUAUAGAUUUUUUUCAGUUGUAGACAUUAUAUUUUGACUUUGUACUAUGAUAGGUGAGGAUUUAUCUCAUUCUUAAUUUCAUUCCCACCCUUACCUUCUUAUCCUCUUUUCUUCAAUUGCAACAUUAGCUCCUUUUUGGCCUCUAUUCUUUACACUUAUGCAAUAUUACAUAUUUGUUUACUGUUCUGUCAGUUAUAGACAGUAUCCCUCAACUCUCCUUUCCCUCUCUACCUCCCAGCUUCUGCCACCUUUAUUUAAAAGCUUUACUGCCAGGUGCAGUGGCUCAUGCCUGUAAUCCCAGCAUUUUGGGAGGCUGAGGUGGGAGGAUCAUGAGGUCAGGAGUUCAAGCCCAGCCGGGUCAACAUGAUGAAACCCCGUCUCUACUAAAAAUACAACAAAAAUUAGUCAGGCAUGGGGGCGCACACCUGUAAUCCCAGCUACUCGGGAGGCUGAGGCAGGAGAAUUGCUUGAACCCGGAAGGUGUAGGUUGCAGUGAGCCAAGAUAGUGCUACUGUACUCCAGCCUGGGCAACAGAGUGAGACUCCAUCUCAGAAAAAAAAAAGAAGAAAAAAAGCUUUACACAAUUAGAGCUUAUUUCACUUACAUUCUAUUCUAGAAACACAACUGAGUUGUUUGUAUUUUAUCUACAGAAAAAGAAGAAAGUUGAAAAACAGUGUUUACAUUAUUGUAACUAUGUAAACAUUAUUCACUCUGAAACCAGGUACUGUAAUAACACUUACUUUUUGUAUUACUUUUUGUUUUUCCUGGAUUUCAAAUGGCAUCUUACUUUUCUUUGUACCACUUGCCUUUCUUAUAUCUCUUUUUCUGCCCUCUUCACCCAAUCACGCAUUGCAUGGAUUUUUUUCCCCCUCAGAUCUUUCUCCAGGGGUCUCUGUUCUUGUUCAUCAUCUGAACUGUUUGUUUCCUAGGUGGUCUGGAACUUCCUAUCACUGCUUUCUUGGAUUGAUUCCACUGGUUUCCACAUCUCAUUCUCCCUUUCUUGGCAUUUUCUCUCCUUUUCCUGUAGAAUAACCUCAAGUAAAAUUCCUGAAGACGUGGUUUGUGGGACAUAAGCUUUCUGAGUCCUCUAUGUUGGAACGUGAUUACAUUUACUGUUUACAUUUGCUCACUGAUUUGGCUUAGUUGAAAAUCAUGUUUCUUUAAAAAGCUUGAAGAUAUCUCCUAAUUGUUUUCUAACUUAAUUAUGUAAUCUCAUAAUUAUUUUCUGACCUCUAUUGGUGUUCAUCAAACUGAUGAACGGUUUGAUUUUAGUUUGUUGCUAAUUCUUGGUGGGGAAAGUGUUUUAUUCCCUUUCAGGGUUUUGAAUUUUUACCCUUAGUCUUUUAAAAUAAUGAAGUGGGAAGUGUGGUUUUGAUAAAAAUGUAGGGCCCUUUCCAACCUUGAUUAUUGUGACACUCAGCUCUGAGAAACAUACUUACAUUACUUUUUUGAUAACCUCAGUUCCUCUGCUCUUUAAAAAAAAACUUAAAAAAAAAAUCUUAUUGGCCGGGAGCGGUGGCUCACGCCUGUAAUCCCAGCACUUUGGGAGGCCAAGGUAGGCGGAUCACGAGGUGAGGAGGUCGAGACCAUCCUGGCUAACACAGUGAAACCUCGUCUCUACUAAAAAUACAAAAAAAUUAGCUGGGCUUUGUGGCGGGCACCUGUAGUCCCAGCUAGUCAGGAGGCUGAGGCAGGAGAAUGGUGUGAACCUGGGAAGCGGAGCUUGCAGUAAGCCAAGAUUGCGCCACUGCACUCCAGCCUGGGCAACAGAGCAAGACACUGUCUCGGGAAAAAAAAAAAAAAAAAAUAUAUAUAUAUAUAUAUAUAUAGUUAACCAGAUACUGGCCUUCAGGAAUGGCUCCCUAAGGUCUAAUCUUUUCUCUAAUAUUUUUUAUUCUUAGUUUUUCAAUCUUUCUUUUUUUAAUUCAUUUGACUUUGUUAGCAAAUUUUCUUUAGGGGUUUUAACUUUGGUUCUUAUUU
ensembl:lncRNA